GGUCGCGUGGCGCGGCGCCAACACGCUUGCGCUCGCGGCGCAAAGCGGCAUCCAGCUCGACGCGCCGAUCAGCGCGCCGCGCGGCACCC
rnacentral:tRNA from 1 species